AUUGAACGCUGGCGGCAUGCCUUACACAUGCAAGUCGAACGGCAGCACGGGUGCUUGCACCUGGUGGCGAGUGGCGAACGGGUGAGUAAUACAUCGGAACAUGUCCUGUAGUGGGGGAUAGCCCGGCGAAAGCCGGAUUAAUACCGCAUACGAUCUACGGAUGAAAGCGGGGGACCUUCGGGCCUCGCGCUAUAGGGUUGGCCGAUGGCUGAUUAGCUAGUUGGUGGGGUAAAGGCCUACCAAGGCGACGAUCAGUAGCUGGUCUGAGAGGACGAUCAGCCACACUGGGACUGAGACACGGCCCAGACUCCUACGGGAGGCAGCAGUGGGGAAUUUUGGACAAUGGGCGAAAGCCUGAUCCAGCAAUGCCGCGUGUGUGAAGAAGGCCUUCGGGUUGUAAAGCACUUUUGUCCGGAAAGAAAUCCUUGGCCCUAAUACGGUCGGGGGAUGACGGUACCGGAAGAAUAAGCACCGGCUAACUACGU
rnacentral:rRNA from 1 species